rnacentral:misc_RNA from 1 species
GAUGAAGAACGUAGCGAAAUGCGAUAAGUAAUGUGAAUUGCAGAACUCAGUGAAUCAUCGAAUCUUUGAACGCACAUUGCGCCCCCUGGUAUUCCGGGGGGCAUGCCUGUCCGAGCGUCAUUACAACCCUCAAGCUCAGCUUGGUGUUGGGCCCCGCCGCCCCGGCGGGCCCUAAAGUCAGUGGCGGUGCCGUCCGGCUCCGAGCGUAGUAAUUCUUCUCGCUCUGGAGGUCCGGUCGUGUGCUCGCCAGCAACCCCCAAUUUUUUUCAGGUUGACCUCGGAUCAGGUAGGGAUACCCGCUGAACUUAAGCAUAUCAAUAAGCGGAGGA